rnacentral:SRP_RNA from 1 species
GGUCAGGUCAUACGCAACAAAAACCCGUGAACCCCGUCAGGACCGGAAGGUAGCAGCGGCAGCGGGAUCUUUUGUGUGCCGUAUAUCACCUGACCGGA